rnacentral:lncRNA from 1 species
CCUGCUAGAACUCUUGAGUGCAUAUUUGGUAAUUGGUCCUUUGCAAACAUGUGAUGGCAGGACCAUUUCCUUAGAUUCUGUGGCUCAAUGUGACUGCCAGUCUUCUUACCUCAUCAUGUUCAUCGAUGGGCAUCAAUAUUUUGGUGUUAACUUUCCCCUUUGCAAACAUGUGAUGGCAGGACCAUUUCCUUAGAUUCUGUGGCUCAAUGUGACUGCCAGUCUUCUUACCUCAUCAUGUUCAUCGAUGGGCAUCAAUAUUUUGGUGUUAUUUUCCCCCCUGAAUUCUGAACAACUAGGGGUUCCUUCUAUUAAUAGUAUUUUUGUUGAAGCUAGCAGUCAGGAUGUUUUUGUUGGUUAGUAAGACAUAUGACUGGAUUAAGCUUGUAACUGUAAACAUGGAGCGCAUCUGAGCAUCUGCAUGGACAGGACCAC